rnacentral:rRNA from 1 species
CGGUGCCCGAGUUGUAAUUUGGAGAGGGCAACUUUGGGGCCGUUCCUUGUCUAUGUUCCUUGGAACAGGACGUCAUAGAGGGUGAGAAUCCCGUGUGGCGAGGAGUGCGGUUCUUUGUAAAGUGCCUUCGAAGAGUCGAGUUGUUUGGGAAUGCAGCUCUAAGUGGGUGGUAAAUUCCAUCUAAAGCUAAAUAUUGGCGAGAGACCGAUAGCGAACAAGUACAGUGAUGGAAAGAUGAAAAGAACUUUGAAAAGAGAGUGAAAAAGUACGUGAAAUUGUUGAAAGGGAAGGGCAUUUGAUCAGACAUGGUGUUUUGUGCCCUCUGCUCCUUGUGGGUAGGGGAAUCUCGCAUUUCACUGGGCCAGCAUCAGUUUUGGUGGCAGGAUAAAUCCAUAGGAAUGUAGCUUGCCUCGGUAAGUAUUAUAGCCUGUGGGAAUACUGCCAGCUGGGACUGAGGACUGCGACGUAAGUCAAGGAUGCUGGCAUAAUGGUUAUAUGCCGCCCGUCUUG